rnacentral:rRNA from 1 species
AUUGAACGCUGGCGGAAUGCUUUACACAUGCAAGUCGAACGGUAGAGGGGGCAACCCCUCGAGAGUGGCGAACGGGUGAGUAAUAUAUCGGAACGUGCCCAGUCGUGGGGGAUAACGUAGCGAAAGUUACGCUAAUACCGCAUACGAUCUAAGGAUGAGAGCGGGGGAUCGCAAGACCUCGCGCGAUUGGAGCGGCCGAUAUCAGAUUAGGUAGUUGGUGGGGUAAAGGCACACCAAGCCAACGAUCUGUAGCUGGUCUGAGAGGACGACCAGCCACACUGGGACUGCGACACGGUCCAGACUCCUACGGGAGGCAGCAGUGGGGAAUUUUGGACAAUGGACGCAAGUCUGAUCCAGCCAUUCCGCGUGCAGGAUGAAGGCCCUCGGGUUGUAAACUGCUUUUGUACGGAACGAAAAGGUCUCUCUUAAUACGGGGGACUCAUGACGGUACCGUAAGAAUAAGCACCGGCUAACUACGUGCCAGCCGCCGCCGUAACAC